CAUUAGUGAACUGUUGAAUGUUUACUGACUUCCCUUUUUUCAAAUUCCAGGUUCCAGACAGUGAAAGCACUGAGGUGGAAGCAGCAGCAGCUCGGCCGGCUGAUGUCGCCGCUCCUGCUCCCGUCCCUGUGGGAGACGCCUCAGAGGAGGAAACAGAG
rnacentral:lncRNA from 1 species